UACAUGUGGGGCAAGCGUUGUUCGGAAUUACUGGGCCUAAAGGGUGCGUAGGCGGCUUGAUAAGUCAGUGGUGAAAUCGUCCGGCCCAACCGGACACGUGCCAAUGAUACUGUCGAGCUAGAGUGCGUGAGGGGUGGGGGGAACGAGCAGUGUAGCGGUGAAAUGCGUAGAUAUUGCUCGGAAGGCCAAAGCCGAAGGGACCCCACUGGUACGCAACUGACGCUGAGGCACGAAAGCGUGGGGAGCAAACAGG
rnacentral:rRNA from 1 species